UACGAGGGCCCCAAGCGUUAUCCGGAUUUAUUGGGCGUAAAGGGUCCGUAGGCGGCCUGACGCAUCUUUCGUUAAAUCUAUUGGCUUAACCGAUAGACCGCGAAAGAGAUGGUCUGGCUAGAGACUGGGAGAGGCAAGCGGAAUUGCUGGUGUAGGGGUUAAAUCCGUUAAUAUCAGCAAGAACACCAAAUGCGAAGGCAGCUUGCUUGAACAGUUCUGACGCUCAGGGACGAAAGCGUGGGGAGCGAAUGGGAUUAGAUACCCCAGUAGUCCACGCCGUAAACACUGGAUGCUAAACAUUGGUAGUAUCGACCCUAUCAGUGUUGUUUAUUUAAGCUAACGCCUUAAGCAUCCCGCCUGGGGAGUACGGCCGCAAGGCUAAAACUCAAAGGAAUAGACGGGGACCCGCACAAGCGGUGGAGCAUGUGGUUUAAUUCGACAAUAAGCGAGGAACCUCACCAAGGUUUGACAUAUAGCUGCAAGUCCUGGAAACAGGAACGCCUUCGAGGGUGCUAUACAGGUGCUGCAUGGUUGUCGUCAGCUCGUGUCGUGAGAUGUACCGUUAAGUCGGGAAACGAGCGCAACCCCUAUCUUGUGUUUCAUGUGUCACAAGAAACUGCCCGUUUUAAAUGGGAGAAAGGUGGGGAUGACGUCAAAUCAGCAUGGUCCUUACACCUUGGGCUACACACGUGCUACAAUGGGGAAUACAAAGGGAAGCCAAACCGAAAGGUGGAGCAAAUCCCCCAAAAAUCUUCUCAGUUCGGAUUGAGGUCUGCAAUUUGACCUCAUGAAGCUGGAAUCGCUAGUAAACGCGCAUCAGCCACGGCGCGUUGAAUACGUUCUCGGGUCU
rnacentral:rRNA from 1 species